rnacentral:lncRNA from 1 species
GCUGUUUCAGUCUUGAACGUGUUGUUCCCCCAGCACAGAGGUCACUCGGAAACACACGUAGUCCCCCAGUGCUCAGCCAAAUGAGACAGGGGACAGCUGACGCCACCCCAGGGACACUGCCGGCAGGGUUUAGAGACGGAGAGGAGCAAGAGGUGCAAGGACGGCUUUCGGGGUCACAGGGCCUCUGCCCAGGCCCCGGCGUAGGCCGAGCACUGCGGCUCAGGGCACCACCCCGAUAGGAGAUUCCUGGCACAGGCCCAGCCUCCAUCACCAGACUGGACUGGACUCCAGGGUUCUCUCUGAGACACUUUCCCUGCUCUGUCAAUGCAGGCACCAGAGAUCUUUUAAAGACAUAGUCUUACCGCACGGCCCAUUCUUAAAACACACUGGGGCUUCUGACACUGAAAAUCAAAUGCAGGUUCUUUACCAAGCCCUGAAAACACCCGCAUUCCCGCGAGACCUCUCCACCCUGCCUGCCAGCUUGUGGGCCGCCGCCUGGAUCUUGGUCCUCAGCUCAUCCUUAGAUCCUUGAGACAGACCAGCCUUUUCUGCUACCUGGGAGCUGUGUCCUCUCCUAGUGGCACGCUCAGCCCCCCGUUCUCAGCAGGGCAGGCUGCUCUAUCCUUCCUGUGUUUCCACUUCGGUGUCGCCUCCUCAGAGCAGCCUCCUGAGACCAUGGCCUCAAAACUUCCUCCCUGAUGCUCCCAUGGCCACACAGCGGUCUCCGGCCAGGCUCCCCACUGCAGGCUUUGCGUGGACGCCCCUGCUCAGCGUCCUGUGGGGCUGACUCUGUUUACUCCUCUGCCUAGACACACACACAGCCGUCCAGCGCUGGCUUCUGUAGUCCGUGAUAUU